rnacentral:rRNA from 1 species
GCUGUACUGCAGUCGGACGGGAUCCAUCGGAGAGCUUGCUCAAAGAUGGUGAGAGUGGCGCACGGGUGCGUAACGCGUGAGCAACCUACCUCUAUCAGGGGGAUAGCCUCUCGAAAGAGAGAUUAACACCGCAUAAUAUAAUUUUCCGGCAUCGUGAAAUUAUUAAAUAUUUAUAGGAUAGGGAUGGGCUCGCGUGACAUUAGCUAGUUGGUAGGGUAACGGCUUACCAAGGCGACGAUGUCUAGGGGCUCUGAGAGGAGAAUCCCCCACACUGGUACUGAGACACGGACCAGACUCCUACGGGAGGCAGCAGUAAGGAAUAUUGGUCAAUGGGCGGAAGCCUGAACCAGCCAUGCCGCGUGCAGGAUGACUGCCCUAUGGGUUGUAAACUGCUUUUGUCCAGGAAUAAACCCAGGUACGUGUACCUGGCUGAAUGUACUGGAAGAAUAAGGAUCGGCUAACUCCGUGCCAGCAGCCGCGGUAAUACGGAGGAUCCGAGCGUUAUCCGGAUUUAUUGGGUUUAAAGGGUGCGUAGGCGGCCUAUUAAGUCAGGGGUGAAAUACGGUGGCUCAACCAUCGCAGUGCCUUUGAUACUGAUGGGCUUGAAUCCAUUUGAAGUGGGCGGAAUAAGACAAGUAGCGGUGAAAUGCAUAGAUAUGUCUUAGAACUCCGAUUGCGAAGGCAGCUCACUAAGCUGGUAUUGACGCUGAUGCACGAAAGCGUGGGGAUCGAACAGGAUUAGAUACCCUGGUAGUCCACGCCCUAAACGAUGAUAACUCGAUGUUGGCGAUAGACAGCCAGCGUCCCAGCGAAAGCGUUAAGUUAUCCACCUGGGGAGUACGCCCGCAAGGGUGAAACUCAAAGGAAUUGACGGGGGCCCGCACAAGCGGAGGAGCAUGUGGUUUAAUUCGAUGAUACGCGAGGAACCUUACCCGGGCUUGAAAGUUAGUGAAGGGAGCAGAGACGCUUCCGUCCUUCGGGACACGAAACUAGGUGCUGCAUGGCUGUCGUCAGCUCGUGCCGUG